UGUACAUUUCAGAAAAUCCUGUGAAAUGGGUUUAGGCCACAGAGAUAUUUUGCCUUCUGUGUGCAGAAGAGUGCACAUAUUGAAUCAAUAUCUCCGCCUGAGAGCAGAAGGUCGCUCUUUGGUGCUGCAGCAGAAAUAGAAGUGACCCUUGUUUCCUGUCGCUCUGUCCUCUGCCAGUCAGGCGGAAGUCAUUGUGGGUUCACGCCGUCGGUGAGCCUAAUCAGGGCGGUCAGCAUUUAAGGCAGGAGGUGACUGCUGUUCUUCACUGGAUUGUUGUCUGCCAGGCACCUCCUGGAUUCCCUCCCCGUGCGAUUCUUUGUGUCAAGUGUGGAAGAGUGAACCUGUGGCUGUGAGUGUGGAGAGUUGGAGAAUGCGUGACUACCCCCGUGGAUUUCCCCGGAGCCCCGUCCCUCACCUAAUUGUAUAUAGCACUGCCCUGCACUUCCCAUAAAUACACAAUGUGGAUUCUGCAAAUAAAUUAUUGUGUACAGCUGA